UUAAACCAUCAGGUUCCAAAGAGAAAGAACCUUGUAUAAAUGAUCCUCUAAGCCUAAUUAAAAAUCUCUACUUCAGGAAUGCCUGGAAUCAAAUGGGAGAAAUAUUCUCUUGAGAUUUCCCCAGAGGCAGCGAAGGCCUCCCUGGUCCUCCCAGGCACAAAAGACAGCCCAGAGAACCGUUGGUGUUUCCUCUGAGACAAGCAGAUAGAGUCCAAGAUGCUCCGAAGAAUAGUGUGCGGGGUUUCAGAGCCAGGGGCAGGACUGCAGGGUGGGAAGGGCAUCUGAGAAGCCUGAGAAUAAGGACACCCCAUGUGGUGGAAGAAAGGAAAUGUGUGCCUACCCAUUUUUGCAGCUGGCCCUUUCCAUUUGCCUCACACUGGACUCUUGCAGACCCCAAGCAAAGGCAUCACAUCAAUCUGCUUGGCUUGUGUUCAAUUCCCUUUUAACUCCCCGAGCCUUAGGAGAAUCACCUUUCUGACAAGUGAAUUCAUUAAACUUCACUAAGUCUCUUUGAAAUCAUGAUUCUCCCUUUGAAAUGAUAGCCACAUUAAAGGCUAUUGUUUGGCAUUAAAGUUCAAAAAUGCAUUA